CAUCCUUCUCAGAUUUUGGAAGGCGCUUCAGAUUCUUAAGCCUUGGGUGGAGUACUGUAGCUAUCUUUAGAAAUCUUGCAUUGGUAUCUUCUUUCCAUUUUAUCAAAUCUCCAGUGAAAGUGUUAUU